CCUACGGGAGGCAGCAGUGGGGAAUAUUGGACAAUGGGGGCAACCCUGAUCCAGCCAUGCCGCGUGUGUGAAGAAGGCCCUCGGGUUGUAAAGCACUUUCAGUGAGGAAGAACGCCUGGUGGUUAAUACCCAUCAGGAAAGACAUCACUCACAGAAGAAGCACCGGCUAACUCCGUGCCAGCAGCCGCGGUAAUACGGAGGGUGCGAGCGUUAAUCGGAAUUACUGGGCGUAAAGCGCGCGUAGGUGGCUUGAUAAGCCGGUUGUGAAAGCCCCGGGCUCAACCUGGGAACGGCAUCCGGAACUGUCAAGCUAGAGUGCAGGAGAGGAAGGUAGAAUUCCCGGUGUAGCGGUGAAAUGCGUAGAGAUCGGGAGGAAUACCAGUGGCGAAGGCGGCCUUCUGGACUGACACUGACACUGAGGUGCGAAAGUGUGGGUAGCAAACAGGAUUAGAUACCCCAGUAGUC
rnacentral:rRNA from 1 species